GGCAGCCCUGUGAUUGACUCCCAGAAAAAUAACUACUUCAUGAAGGGCUUCUUCAGCUGAAGUCUAGUUUUUCAAACAUAAAUAAUCGAAAAAUGCUUCAAAAUUAAAAAGGAGGCUUCCUCUGGUUAUGUCUUUUGUUUUGUAUAUGUUUUAUUUAAACAGUCGAAGCAAACUUGGUAAUUGUGCAACGAAGAAAAGUGUGACAGACAGAUAGAUACACAGAGUAAUUACUAUAGGGCGCAACUAAUUUUUUUUAUGGCGGAG
rnacentral:lncRNA from 1 species